UACGAAGGGGGCUAGCGUUGCUCGGAAUCACUGGGCGUAAAGCGCACGUAGGCGGCUUUCUAAGUCAGGGGUGAAAUCCUGGAGCUCAACUCCAGAACUGCCUUUGAUACUGGAGAGCUCGAGUCCGGAAGAGGUGAGUGGAACUCCGAGUGUAGAGGUGAAAUUCGUAGAUAUUCGGAAGAACACCAGUGGCGAAGGCGGCUCACUGGUCCGGUACUGACGCUGAGGUGCGAAAGCGUGGGGAGCAACGGG
rnacentral:rRNA from 1 species